rnacentral:rRNA from 1 species
UACAGAGGGUGCUAGCGUUAAUCGGAAUUACUGGGCGUAAGGCGUGCGCAGGCGGUUGUGCAAGACAGAUGUGAAAUCCCCGGGCUCAACCUGGGAACUGCAUUUGUGACUGCACGGCUGGAGUGCGGCAGAGGGGAUGGAAUUCCGCGUGUAGCAGUGAAAGCGAGAUAUGCGGAGGAACACCGAUGGCGAAGGCAAUCCCCGUGGGC